CCUACGGGUGACAGCAGUGAGGAAUAUUGGUCAAUGCACGCAAGUCUGAACCAGCCAUGCCGCGUGCAGGAAGACGGCUCUAUGAGUUGUAAACUGCUUUUGUACGAGGGUAAACGCAGAUACGCGUCUCUGUCUGAAAGUAUCGUACGAAUAAGGAUCGGCUAACUCCGUGCCAGCAGCCGCGGUAAUACGGAGGAUUCAAGCGUUAUCCGGAUUUAUUGGGUUUAAAGGGUGCGUAGGCGGUCGGAUAAGUUAGAGGUUAAAUCCCGAGGCUCAACUUCGGAAUGGCCUCUGAUACUGUUCGGCUAGAGAGUAGUUGCGGGAGGCGGAAUGUAUGGUGUAGCGGUGAAAUGCUUAGAGAUCAGACAGAACACCGAUUGCGAAGGCAGCUUACCAAGCUACUUCUGACGUUGAGGCACGAAAGCGUGGGGAGCAAACAGGAUUAGAUACCCGAGUAGUC
rnacentral:rRNA from 1 species